CGGGGCCCCAUGAACGCAGUAUAUCUGAUGCAGCAACGCCGCGUGGAGGAUGACACGUUUCGGUGCGUAAACUCCUUUUAUAUAAGAAGAUAAUGACGGUAUUAUAUGAAUAAGCACCGGCUAACUCCGUGCCAGCAGCCGCGGUAAUAAGC
rnacentral:rRNA from 1 species